ACCAUAGAAACGUUACGGCACA
rnacentral:miRNA from 1 species